GAUGAACGCUGGCGGCGUGCCUAAUACAUGCAAGUCGAGCGAACAGACGAGGAGCUUGCUCCUCUGACGUUAGCGGCGGACGGGUGAGUAACACGUGGAUAACCUACCGAUAGGACUGGGAUAACUUCGGGAAACCGGAGCUAAUACCGGAUAAUAUAUUGAACCGCAUGGUUCAAUAGUGAAAGACGGUUUUGCUGUCACUUAUAGAUGGAUCCGCGCCGCAUUAGCUAGUUGGUAAGGUAACGGCUUACCAAGGCAACGAUGCGUAGCCGACCUGAGAGGGUGAUCGGCCACACUGGAACUGAGACACGGUCCAGACUCCUACGGGAGGCAGCAGUAGGGAAUCUUCCGCAAUGGGCGAAAGCUUGACGGAGCAACGCCGCGUGAGUGAUGAAGGUCUUCGGAUCGUAAAACUCUGUUAUUAGGGAAGAACAAAUGUGUAAGUAACUAUGCACGUCUUGACGGUACCUAAUCAGAAAGCCACGGCUAACUACGUG
rnacentral:rRNA from 1 species